GAGGGUAUAGCUCAAGUGGUAGAGCGCAUGCUUAGCAUGCACAAGGUCCUGGGUUCAACCCCCAGUACCUUCU
rnacentral:tRNA from 1 species